rnacentral:misc_RNA from 1 species
AAGUCGUAACAAGGUUUCCGUAGGUGAACCUGCGGAAGGAUCAUUACUGAGUGAGGGCCCCUCGGGGUCCAACCUCCCACCCGUGUUUAACGAACCUUGUUGCUUUGGCGGGCCCGCCUCACGGCCGCCGGGGGGCAUCUGCCCCCGGGCCCGCGCCCGCCGAAGCCACCUGUGAACUCUGUCUGAAGUAUGCAGUCUGAGACAAUUAUUAAAUUAAUUAAAACUUUCAACAACGGAUCUCUUGGUUCCG